rnacentral:tRNA from 1 species
UUUAAUGUGGUGUAAAGCACAACACAUUUUGGUUGUGUAGGGAGUUAGUUACUCGUUAUUU